AGUGAACGCUGGCGGUAGGCCUAACACAUGCAAGUCGAACGGCAGCACUGGAGAGCUUGCUCUCUGGGUGGCGAUUGGCGGACGGGUGAGGAAUACAUCGGAAUCUACUCUGUCGUGGGGGAUAACGUAGGGAAACUUAGGCUAAUACCGCAUACGACCUACGGGGGAAAGCGGGGGACCUUCCGGCCUUGCGCGAUUGAAUGAGCCGAUGUCGGAUUCGCUAGUUGGCGGGGUAAAGGCCCACCAAGGCGACGAUCCGUAGCUGGUCUGAGAGGAUGAGCAGCCACACUGGAACUGAGACACGGUCCAGACUCAUACGGGAGGCAGCAGUGGGGAAUAUUGGACAAGGGGCGCAAGCCUGAUCCAGCCAUACCGCGUGGGUGAAGAAGGCCUUCGGGUUGUAAAGCCCUUUUGUUGGGAAAGAAAUCCAGCUGGCUAAUACCCGGUUGGGAUGACGGUACCCAAAGAAUAAGCACCGGCUAACUUCGUGCCAGCCGCCGCGGUAA
rnacentral:rRNA from 1 species